GCGGAACGGAGCAAUCCGGUCC
rnacentral:sRNA from 1 species